GUAGGUGGCAAGCGCUGUCCGGAAUUAUUGGGCGUAAAGCGCGCGCAGGCGGUUCUUUAAGUCUGAUGUGAAAGCCCACGGGCUCAACCGUGGAGGGUCAUUGGAAACUGGAGAACUUGAGUACAGAAGAGGAAAGCGGAAUUCCACGUGUAGCGGUGAAAUGCGUAGAGAUGUGGAGGAACACCAGUGGCGAAGGCGGCUUUCUGGUCUGUAACUGACGCUGAGGCGCGAAAGCGUGGGGAGCAAACAGGAUUAGAUGCCCUGGUAGUCCACGCCGUAAACGAUGAGUGCUAAGUGUUAGGGGGUUUCCGCCCCUUAGUGCUGCAGCUAACGCAUUAAGCACUCCGCCUGGGGAGUACGGCCGCAAGGCUG
rnacentral:rRNA from 1 species